ACUCCUACGGGAGGCAGCAGUAGGGGAAUCUUCCACAAUAGGCGCAAGCCUGAUGGAGCAACACCGCGUGAGUGAAGAAGGGUUUCGGCUCGUAAAGCUCUGUUGUUAAAGAAGAACACGUAUGAGAGUAACUGUUCAUACGUUGACGGUAUUUAACCAGAAAGUCACGGCUAACUACGUGCCAGCAGCCGCGGUAAUACGUAGGUGGCAAGCGUUAUCCGGAUUUAUUGGGCGUAAAGAGAGUGCAGGCGGUUUUCUAAGUCUGAUGUUAAAGCCUUCGGCUUAACCGGAGAAGUGCAUCGGAAACUGGAUAACUUGAGUGCAGAAGAGGGUAGUGGGAACUCCAUGUGUAGCGGUGGAAUGCGUAGAUAUAUGGAAGAACACCAGUGGCGAAGGCGGCUACCUGGUCUGCAACUGACGCUGAGACUCGAAAGCAUGGGUAGCGAACAGGAUUAGAUACCUUGGUAGCUCGAUG
rnacentral:rRNA from 1 species